UUUAAAAGACCUAGCAAUAGGUAUGCUUAGCGAGGAGCUUGCGUCACAUUAGUUAGUUGGUGGGGUAAAGGCCUACCAAGACUAUGAUGUGUAGCCGCGCUGAGAGGUUGAUCGGCCACAUUGGGACUGAGACACGGCCCAAACUCCUACGGGAGGCAGCAGUAGGGAAUUAUCGGCAAUGGAGGAAACUCUGACCGAGCAACGCCGCGUGAACGAUGAAGUAUUUCGGUACGUAAAGUUCUAUUAUUAGGGAAGAAUAAAUGAUGGAAAAAUCAUUCUGACGGUACCUAAUGAAUAAGCCCCGGCUAACUAUGUGCCAGCAGCCGGGGUAAUACAUAGGGCGCAAGCGUUAUCCGGAAUUAUUGGGCGUAAAGGGUGCGUAGGCGGUUAAAUAAGUUUAUGGUCUAAGUGCAAUGCUCAACAUUGUGAUGCUAUAAUAACUGUUUAGCUAGAGUAAGAUAGAGGCAAGUGGAAUUCCAUGUCUAGUGGUACAUUGCGUAUAUAUAUGGAGGAACACCAGUAGCGAAGGCGGCUUGCUGGGUCUAUACUGACGCUGAGGCAGGAAAGCGUGGGGACCAAACAGGAUUAGAUACCCUGGUAGUCCACGCCGUAUACGAUGAGUACUAAACGUUGGGUAAUACCAGUGUUGAAGAUAACACAUUAAGUACUCCGCCUGAGUAGUACGUACGCAAGUAUGAAACUUAAAGGAAUUUACCGGACUCCGCACAAGCGGUGGAUCAUGUUGUUUAAUUCGAAGGUACCCGAAAGACCUCACCAGGUCUUGACAUGCUUCUGCAUAGCUGUAGAAACACAGUGGAGGUUAUCAGUUGCACAGGUGGUGCAUGGUUGUCGUCAGCUCGUGUCUUGAGAUGUUGGGUUAAGUCCCGCAACGAGCGCAACCCUUAUUGUUAGUUACCAGCACGUAAUGGUGGCGACUUUAGCAAGACUGCCAGUGAUAUAUUGGAGGAAGGUGGGGACGACGUCAAAUCAUCAUGCCCCUUAUGACCUGCGCUACAAACGUGAUACAAUGGCUGUUACAAACGGUAGCUGAAGCGCAAGUUUUAGGCGAAUCUCAAAGAAACAGUCUCAGUUCGGAUUGAAGUCUGCAACUCGACUUCAUGAAGUUGGAAUCGCUAGUAAUCGCGAAUCAGCAUGUCGCGGUGAAUACG
rnacentral:rRNA from 1 species